rnacentral:rRNA from 1 species
AUAGGGGGUAUCUUUACAAAUGGCAAGUCGAACGGAAUCUUCGGGAUUUAGUGGCGGACGGGUGAGUAACGCGUGAGAAUCUAGCUCUAGGUCGGGGACAACCACUGGAAACGGUGGCUAAUACCGGAUGUGCCGAAAGGUGAAAGAUUUAUUGCCUAGAGAUGAGCUCGCGUCUGAUUAGCUAGUUGGUGUGGUAAGAGCGCACCAAGGCGACGAUCAGUAGCUGGUCUGAGAGGAUGAUCAGCCACACUGGGACUGAGACACGGCCCAGACUCCUACGGGAGGCAGCAGUGGGGAAUUUUCCGCAAUGGGCGAAAGCCUGACGGAGCAAUACCGCGUGAGGGAGGAAGGCUCUUGGGUUGUAAACCUCUUUUCUCAGGGAAUAAGAAAGUGAAGGUACCUGAGGAAUAAGCAUCGGCUAACUCCGUGCCAGCAGCCGCGGUAAUACGGAGGAUGCAAGCGUUAUCCGGAAUGAUUGGGCGUAAAGCGUCCGCAGGUGGCACUGUAAGUCUGCUGUUAAAGAGCAAGGCUCAACCUUGUAAAGGCAGUGGAAACUACAGAGCUAGAGUACGUUCGGGGCAGAGGGAAUUCCUGGUGUAGCGGUGAAAUGCGUAGAAUAU